CGGCCCGCGCCCCCCCGCCGGCCCCCGCUGACUCAGCGCGCAGCUAUGCGGGCCUUGCAUCACCCGCGCCAAAAUAAUAGCGACCGCCAGUCGCCCUCGCCUGCAGGGCCCGGCGCUUGCGAGGGGCCUGCCUGGGCCACGAAGAUGUUAGUGGAAAGGCCUGGAGGGUGUGUAGUGGGAGUCGGAACCCUGGAAGAGGACGGGCGGUUGGAAUCCUGGUCCUGGGGCAGCAGGGCCUGGAAGAGGUGCCUCCGCCCGCGGGGCAGAAGUCCUGGAGUCCCGGAAACCUGUCUGCGCCUCCCUAACACUCGUCUCCCUGCCGGGGCUUAAACGCUAGUCGUGAACAGAACAAGGCGGCGAUAGAAAAAGGCUUUCCAUCCCUAGGCCUUCGUGAGGUCCUUGCCUUUUGGGGGGCGGUUAUGGGGGCCGCUCCUCCACAUUCCUGCCCUCUCGUGGCCGGUGCCAUUGGUCGGAUCCACCCAGGGCACAAUCUAAAAAAUGUGUGCCAAGAGCUGUAAAACUGUUCAUUGAGCCCCCUUUGACCCGGUAAACCCAUUUAAGGAAGUACAUUUCUAAGGAAAUGAUCCAAAGGGAGAAGGGGGGAGAACUUGCAUAAAGAUGUUUAUAGCAGGGCUAUUCACCAUGUUCAUAAUAACCGAAACCUGGGAAUGGACCCAAUUGUCCAACAAUUGGGGAAUAAUCCAAACAAGUUCUGUCACAUUACCAGAAAGAAUCCUGGCAGGUAUGCAGGAUUCCUGUCAAGCACAUGAAAUUUUGGCAAGUACAGGAGAAGAAUAUUGGAAAUAAGGUUAAAUGAACAACAAAUACAAAAUAGUUUGUGCUCACUGUUUAAAGCUAUGUAAAAGGAACAGCUGUAAGAACGGGAGGAGAAUACAGUUGUUUUUAAGUCGGUUUGUUUUCUUUCUCUAAAGAUGCUUAAGAGAAUAUUAAAAUUUUUAAAAAUUGAAAAACUGUCCUAAGAUAGGUAGGCCACUCCAAAAAAGCUACAAUCUAAUAUCCAUUAAGUAGUGAGAAUCUUAAGAACCAUUCUCACUGGCGUGUCAGAGAUAAGCCCACAUACAGGCAACUUAGUUCUAAAGCCCUAACCUUGUCGAAGUAGCAUUUUACUCGGUAGGUGUUCCAGGAGCCUCAUCUUUCCUUUUGUGUUAAAGCCACCCUCGCUGGCGCUUAGACGGGAAGAGGCCCUGGAUGACCUCAUACAGGCUUUUUCUCUCCGAUAAUAACACUAACUUCUGGUCAAAAGCUAAGUCCUUUGAGUCUGUAUGUGGAGUGACUCAUUCAUACCUCUACAGACCACACCAAGAAGACAGAGUGAGUUGGACUCACCUCCUGCUUAUGCAUUGGAGCAGUAUAAUGAGACAAUCCAUGAGGACGGAUCCUUUUUCCUGAUGACAAUAUAAUAUGCAAAGCAAAAGGAACACCAUGUGAUUCUCAGGUUCCAAAUUGAUUCUUCAGUGACUAGCUGUGUAUUUUUAUGGAGCUUGAUGAGCUGACAGGAAGCCACGGUCCCAAAGACUAGACAUGGAAACCUUAUUUAAAAAGAAAAUAGUGAUCAACAAAAUACAGAUAAUGUGCACAUUUUGCAUGUGGUCAUUUACCUAGGCUAGAAAAAACCUAGAGUGGAGGAUUUCUGUCUACGCCCUACACCGUCGUCUAUAUAGAAGAAAAAACGACUAAGCUCUUGAUGCUCCUUAAGAUCUCCAGAUGAAAGAUACCGGAUGCGUCCAAGACAAUUAUUCACCAGUAUACUAUGAAAAAUUCUCAGAGGAGAAGGAGUUGGUCACAGCUCAACAGUGUACUUGGAAGUAAGUGAUACGAAAAGGAACUGAGUUUGCGAAAGGAUACGGAAGAUACGAAAAGAUACGAAAAGGAACUACACAGAGUUUGCAAUCAAGAACUGAUGAUUGAAUAAGUACUCAGUGUUUGUUUACUGAUCAAAUAAUCGAAUGAAUAUAUACAUGAAAAAACACAAAGAAUUGUAAUUCAAGAAAGAAAAAAAGAGGAAGGAAAUAUAUUGUGACAAACACCAGAAGCUGAAUGCCAGUGACCAGUCUUCACAUCUUUCCAUUUCUUGUUGAGAUUCUCACUGACAGUGUUUAAACAGGGCUGGGCUGUUUACACACAAUCGUUGUUCGCAGUGGCCCAGCAGAACCUGUAAGGGACAUAUAUCACACAUCACCCCAAUGCAGAGGAGGUGUGAGCCACAAGUCUGAAGGACAAGGGCAAACUCUGCUUUCAUCUGCUCCACCGCAACCCUCAAAGAAGUGCUGAGACUUCACAGCCAGAGUCGAGAGCUGAGAGCUAGGAGGAGCUCAGCAGAGUGGAGAUGCUCUGGAAGCUGGACACCAGCAUCGUAACUUUCUGUUGUCGGAAGUGGUGCGAAUUCCCAGAGCAUCGGAGGUAUCAGCCCUCAAAAAUAAUCUACACUCUCAUUCCAAGACAACAUGAAAUUGACUUAGG